CGCCCGGCCCCGGCCCUGGUCCCGGCCCUCGCCUUUUUCUUUUGCCAGAGCAUUACGUCAUCCUUUUUCUCCACGUGGAGGUAGCCUGGAUAUAGUAUUUAAAGAUUCGCCCCGCUGAUUAAAAUUCCCUGUUUCUGUUCUGUUCUGUUCUGCUUUUAUAGAACAGUGCCUUCGGACCCUGAAAUACGUCAAAUGGGAGAGAGAUUUCUGCCUGAAAGACACAACCGGCUUCAUUUGCCAUAUUCAGUGAGCAAAAGACAUACUGUUGGAACAGCAUACAAAAACAGAACAAAAGGUAAAACAUGCUGUAUCCAAUGCAAAUUACACUGACCUAUGUUUUGUGUGCAAGAUAAAAAAUUGAGAAAACCAGUGACUGUAGCUCAGCUUCCCUUUUGGCAUAUUCAUUUCAAGCAGCCAAAUCUCCUUCAAGAUGUGUGCAGUAUGCCAUGCUGUGAGGAUCCUUAACCUGGAAACUCCCUCCCUUCAGUUUUCCAGAUGCUUUGUAGCUCUGUAUUUAGCCUAAGCAGAACACUCUUAGAAUUCUGCUCUCAGAUCUAAAGGACACCCAUUUGUUUCUAAGAAGUGGAAGAAACUAAGAAAAGCAAUUGUUAAGGCAUGGAGAAAAAUGGUUCUUGAAGACCAAAGUUUUGCAAUUGAUAUUUUUGUAGAGCAGAAUGACAUUACUAAUAGUUCUUGACUGUCUAAAUCUCAAUAAGCAUUUGCCGAAACCAGCAUGUAUACAAUCCUAGGAAAAGAGGAUCAUAUUUUUCACAGAUACAUGUUGCUCCUUUGAUGAAUGGCAUAGCAAUUGGGUGGAUCCAUGUUCUUUGUGGAUAUCAUAUCCCAGUUUGCACAGGGAUGUUUUGAGAUCUCUUUCUUGAUCUGCUCUAAACUUUGUUAAAAGGUGACUUACAUAACCCAGUUUUUCCAACACAUCAAAAAAAAAUGCAUGUUUCACUUCUCACUAGUGUUGCAAUAUUCAUCAGUUUAACUUUUUUUGAAAUUGGGGCUGGAAUCUGCUUGUGUAUCGCAAGAACACUACUACUGAGGAAUGGCCUUCACUGUGCAGAUUCAGAGUCAAGUGUAUUAGUUUAGUGUACCAAAUUGUUUUUACUGCAGAUUAUAAUAUUUGGUUCUCUGCCCUCCCUCCCUCACUGCACCCAACACACACCCCAGACCAAUGCUACCAAGACAUGCUUGUGCAGUAAAUAGAAUGUGUUGGUUGAAACAUUUUCAGUAUUUAGAAAACCUUUAGAAUAUGUUGCUUCUUGUUUCUACUGGUUACACCAAAUGAUUGUAAAACCAUCACUGUGUGACUGAAAAUCUCUCAUGAAUACAAAGGAAAAAGGAAUCAAAGCAAAUAAAUUAGGAAAGAAAUCACACACAAAACCCCCUAUAUAUAUAUAUAUAUA